AUUGAACGCUGGCGGCAGGCCUAACACAUGCAAGUCGAACGAGUGGCGCACGGGUGAGUCAUGUCUGGGAACCUGCCUUAUGGAGGGGGUUAACUACUGGAAACGGUAGCUAAUCCCGCAUACCAUCGGAUUUGCCCAGAUGGGAUUAGCUAGUAGGUGGGGUAACGGCUCACCUAGGCGACGAUCCCUAGCUGGUCUGAGAGGAUGACCAGCCACACUGGAACUGAGACACGGUCCAGACUCCUACGGGAGGCAGCAGUGGGGAAUAUUGCACAAUGGGCGCAAGCCUGAUGCAGCCAUGCCGCGUGUAUGAAGAAGGCCUUCGGGUUGUAAAGUACUUUCAGCGGGGAGGCGUUACCCGCAGAAGAAGCACCGGCUAACUACGUGCCAGCAGCCGCGGUAAUUC
rnacentral:rRNA from 1 species